AUUGAACGCUGGCGGCAUGCUUUACACAUGCAAGUCGAACGGCAGCGUGGGCUUCGGCCUGGCGGCGAGUGGCGAACGGGUGAGUAAUGCAUCGGAACGUGCCCAGUAGUGGGGGAUAGCCCGGCGAAAGCCGGAUUAAUACCGCAUACGACCUGAGGGUGAAAGCGGGGGACCGAAAGGCCUCGCGCUAUUGGAGCGGCCGAUGUCGGAUUAGCUAGUUGGUGGGGUAAAGGCUUACCAAGGCGACGAUCCGUAGCUGGUCUGAGAGGACGACCAGCCACACUGGGACUGAGACACGGCCCAGACUCCUACGGGAGGCAGCAGUGGGGAAUUUUGGACAAUGGGGGCAACCCUGAUCCAGCCAUGCCGCGUGCGGGAAGAAGGCCUUCGGGUUGUAAACCGCUUUUGUUCGGGAAGAAAUCCUCUGGGCUAAUACCCCGGGGGGAUGACGGUACCGGAAGAAUAAGCACCGGCUAACUACGUG
rnacentral:rRNA from 1 species